AAGCAAUGUAGGUUUCAAAGCAGAUCACAAAAGUCAUUGUGAGUCAUCUAUGGCAGUGCUGUGAUUUGAAAAAUAAACAGCAUUCAGAUAGCCUUGGGCUCUGAGAGAAACUGGUUGGAUUAUAUGAGGUCCUGUUCCAGGGCACCUGAAGCUAUAACUAUUUCUGAGUAUGAAAAAUACCUCGCCUGACAGUGGGCACCCUGCCACCAUUGGGAGAACCGUGAGAAUCCAAUUUGUUCUCAAAACACUGCCAUGUGGGAGACUUGCUUCUUUCUUUUUUUCUCUCUCUCAUUGAAUUUAUUGGUACAUUUAGGUAUACAGUACAGUUACAUUCAUCAUUGGGGAUCUUGUACCUUUACACAACAGGUCUUGGUUCCCCGUACCCCUGCCCUCCCUUCACCCAUGCCCUCCCUUCACUCCCUCCUUCCUUCACUAUUUACAAAUACUUUAUUUCCAUUUUCUUAUAUUUUUUUGACUUGCUUCUUUCUGAAUGGAGCAUCCCUUCUAUGAACAAGGAAAGGUGAGUGCGAUGAGUGUCCCAGUAUUUGCUGCCUGCUUCCUAUGGGUAGAGUCUCUGCCUAUGCAUAUGGGUGGGAUGGAAGAAGAGAGCUCCUGACCUUUUAGAGGUACUUGCCAGGAAUUAGGUUCCAUAAAUCAGAGCUAAGGGAGUAUGAAAAAUGCUAGUAGCCUGUCCCCAAAGAUAACAUUCCAUAUCCCUUCCUGGGAGCUGGGAGAAGAAAGAGUACCAUCUUCUUGGCCACACCUUCUCGCAUGGUGCUUACACUGCCAAGAGUUGGAAGUAGG
rnacentral:lncRNA from 1 species